rnacentral:misc_RNA from 1 species
GAUGAAGAACGUAUCGAAAUGCGAUAAGUAAUGCGAAUUGCAGAAUUCCGUGAGUCAUCGAAUCUUUGAGCGCACAUUGCGCCCUUUGGCAUUCCGAAGGGCAUGCCUGUUCGAGCGUCAUUUAUCAACCCUCAAGCCCGGCUUGCGGUUGGGUCCCGCCGUGGGCGACCACGGCGGACCCGAAAGGUAAUGGCGGUGCCCGUGGGGCCCUGGACGCAGCGAGCUUCUCGGCACGCGUCCCGGCGGUCCCCGGCGCCGUCUCCACCAAUCCACCACGCAGAUUGACCUCGGAUCAGGUAGGGAUACCCGCUGAACUUAAGCAUAUCAAUAAGCGGAGGA